AUGUACCACGAGCUGGUCACCGCAACGAGUAACUUCGCCGAGGAGGAGAAGCUCGGGCGAGGCGGCUUCGGGAGCGUUUACCGGGGUCACCUCACGCUCACACCCGUAGCUGCUGUCGGUGGUGACCAAGACCGCCGUGCGGUGGCGGUGAAGGUCUUGUCAGCGGAGUCGUCGGCGCAAGGGAUGAAGGAGUUCAAGGCAGAGGUGAGAAUCAUCAGCAGACUGAAGCAUCGCAACCUUGUGCAGCUGCUGGGUUGGUGCGACAGCCGCAAGGGGGUCCUCCUUGUCUACGAGCUCGUCGCGGAGAGCAGCCUCGACAAGCACCUCUACAGCAAGGACGGCACGUAUCUAACAUGGCCACAGAGGUACAACAUCAUCCUCGGUCUGGGGUCGGCGCUGCGCUACCUCCACGGAGAGUGGGAGCAAUGCAUCGUCCACGGCGACAUCAAACCGAGCAACAUCAUGCUCGACUCAUCGCUCAGCACCAAGCUCGGGGACUUCGGGUUGGCCCGGCUCAUUGACCACGGCGCCGGGUCAAUGCAGACCACCAAGGCCGUGCUAGGCACCGUCGGGUACAUCGACCCAGAGUUCGUCAACACGCGCCGCCCUAGCACCAAGUCGGAUGUCUACAGUUUCGGCAUCGUCCUCCUAGAGAUCACCUCUGGCCGACGGCCGGUGAUGGAGACCCCGGAGAGGUCUUUCACACUGCUCAGCUGGGUUUGGGGCCUGUAUGGGAGGAAUGCGAUCCUUGACGCGGCGGACGAGCGGUUGAGGGGUGACGAGGCGGAUGCUCGAUGGAUGGAGCGGGUGCUCGUCGUCGGGCUCUGGUGUGCACACCCAGACCAGGGCGAGCGGCCGUCCAUCGCGCAGGCCAUGCACGUCCUGCAGUCCGACGAGGUGAGGCUACCGGCGCUGCCGCUGCACAUGUACAGGACCGUGCCGGAUCCCGCGUCGUCUGGCCCGUACGGGUCUUUCUCCGUUGACAGCUUGGGUUCCAGUUGCGUUCGCUCUUCUUCGGUCAGCAUCGGCAACAUCACCCAUUUCUCUGAGCGAAAAUUCUACACUAUGUAG
rnacentral:rRNA from 1 species